rnacentral:lncRNA from 1 species
UAUGGCCACUCGUAUACACACACACACAUCCCUUAACAACACACUACAAUAAUCGACCAUCGAAUAGCCACUCAUAUGCUCACACAUCAUCCUUACCGAUACCCCAGAGCAUACACUCCUUCAAAAUUCGAUAAUACUCCCAUAUUAUUUUACCUAUUUCACCCUUACCCCUCGCUCAUCACUCACAUUCCCUUUAAUCACCCCUUAAACCCGACUCAAACUCUCAUACUCCUAAACUACCUGUAGUGUAACACCCAAAUAAAUAAAUAAAAAUUUUAUUUAUUUAUUUUUAUUCUUUUUUUAUUUAUUUGAUUUCUUAUUUAACUUAGUUUAAUUUAAUUCAAUGAAAAUAUAAAUAAUAAAAAUGAUAAAAUAGGAUAAAAAUAUUAUUUGGACGUAAUUGAAAUUGAUUUUGAAAAAAAAGGAUGAAAAUUUGGAUUCUAGGGGUGUUUUUGAAAAGAAAAUCAGAAACUGGGGGUCAAAACGCAAUUUUAAAAAGUUGUGCCACGUCAGCAGCCACGUCAACGGGUCAGCAGCCCCGACCAACCAAAACGCGCCGCGUGGCAAGACAACGCUGACCAGGGAACGGGCCACGUGGGCGAUCCGCGUGCGCGCGAUCAAACGGUCCAGAUCCGUUCCCGCGCACACGGACGACCCAGAUCAAACGUGCGCACAGACGGCCCAGAUUGCAUCGUGAUGAACGGCCCAGAUUCAAUCUUGAUGGACGGUUAAGAUUAAAAGGCAAAUGGUAUAAAUACCCCCACCCACACCUGACCAAAGAAACCCUAGCCGCCAGUGCUCGCCGGAGGAGCCGGCCGCCGCCACCCACCGCCGCACCGGGGAAGUUUCCGAUCGCCGAUCAAGGUAAUUUUUCUCCUCCUUGCUCGUUUUUCGAUGCUGAGUCCGCCUAUGGCCAAACCGGAGCCAAACGACCGGAAAAUCCAGCCGAAACCCAGCGGCGCUGCCGCGCUCCUCCUCGAUUUUUGCCUCCAAUGAGGCCCUUCCUGGCCUCUGUUUGAUGCAAAUUUUAUACCACUGUGAUCACCGUUCUUUUCUCUACAGGUUGAUCAGAGCCAAACAUCAAAACACGACUCACGCCGGAGGAGCCGCCGCACCCGAGAGCACCGCCGUCGGUAAGUUUCGAUUUUUCGUGAUUUUUUGGCCCACCGAGGGCCCUAGGGUUGUUCUAUCGCAGGGACCGAUGCAAGCGUGGCCGAAUUCGGCCGAAAACGGCCAACCUGAGGCGAAUCGCUACCGCAAACGGGGGCGCUGUCACCGGAGCACGGCGAAGCCGCCGUGCCGGAAUUGCGAUAUUGGCCGAAA